ACUCCUACGGGAGGCAGCAGUGGGGAAUCUUAGACAAUGGGCGCAAGCCUGAUCUAGCCAUGCCGCGUGAGUGAUGAAGGCCUUAGGGUCGUAAAGCUCUUUCGCCAGGGAUGAUAAUGACAGUACCUGGUAAAGAAACCCCGGCUAACUCCGUGCCAGCAGCCGCGGUAAUACGGAGGGGUUAGCGUUGUUCGGAAUUACUGGGCGUAAAGCGCGCGUAGGCGGAUUAGUCAGUUAGAGGUGAAAUCCCAGGGCUCAACCCUGGAACUGCCUUUAAUACUGCUAGUCUUGAGUUCGAGAGAGGUGAGUGGAAUUCCGAGUGUAGAGGUGAAAUUCGUAGAUAUUCGGAGGAACACCAGUGGCGAAGGCGGCUCACUGGCUCGAUACUGACGCUGAGGUGCGAAAGUGUGGGGAGCAAACAGGAUUAGAUACCCUGGUAGCGACUGA
rnacentral:rRNA from 1 species